rnacentral:rRNA from 1 species
UGGCAAGUCGAACGCUUUGUGGUUCAACUGAUUUGAAGAGCUUGCUCAGAUAUGACGAUGGACAUUGCAAAGAGUGGCGAACGGGUGAGUAACACGUGGGAAACCUACCUCUUAGCAGGGGAUAACAUUUGGAAACAGAUGCUAAUACCGUAUAACAAUGACAACCGCAUGGUUGUUAUUUAAAAGAUGGUUCUGCUAUCACUAAGAGAUGGUCCCGCGGUGCAUUAGCUGGUUGGUAAGGUAAUGGCUUACCAAGGCGAUGAUGCAUAGCCGAGUUGAGAGACUGAUCGGCCACAAUGGGACUGAGACACGGCCCAUACUCCUACGGGAGGCAGCAGUAGGGAAUCUUCCACAAUGGGCGAAAGCCUGAUGGAGCAACGCCGCGUGUGUGAUGAAGGGUUUCGGCUCGUAAAACACUGUUGUAAGAGAAGAAUGACAUUGAGAGUAACUGUUCAAUGUGUGACGGUAUCUUACCAGAAAGGAACGGCUAAAUACGUGCCAGCAGCCGCGGUAAUACGUAUGUUCCAAGCGUUAUCCGGAUUUAUUGGGCGUAAAGCGAGCGCAGACGGUUAUUUAAGUCUGAAGUGAAAGCCCUCAGCUCAACUGAGGAAUUGCUUUGGAAACUGGAUGACUUGAGUGCAGUAGAGGAAAGUGGAACUCCAUGUGUAGCGGUGAAAUGCGUAGAUAUAUGGAAGAACACCAGU